rnacentral:lncRNA from 1 species
CUCGGUAUGUAGGGUCCGCAUUUUUCUGUAUUCUAGAACGUGGGUGGGCGUCGACAUUUUUCUGUAGUCUGUAACGUGGGUAUGGCGGUCGGCUUUUUUUUUGUAUUCUUGAAGGCUCACUCUGGAAUCUGUAGCAGUAAUGAUAUAUUUUGUCUUAAACAAUGUACCAUUUGCAAUGUGAUUUGUAUCCAAGAUUUUCAUGGCUAUCCAAGCUUUAGAUUGUAUUCUCUCUUGCAGUCAAGCAGUUCAAGCUUUAGAUUUUCAAUUCUUUUUGCCAUAGCUACUUAUUGAAGUACACUAUUUUACAAAAUAACUUAAUGCUUUUUCUUGUUACUUGUAGAUCCCACUAGCACCAUUAAGAGUUGGGGAAGGUGAACUUCCGC